GCGUGAAUUGAUGUGUAUGAGAGGUGGUAUUUCAGCCAAAGGGUUAAUAUGAGUAUAUAUAGGCACUUCAAACCCUAGGGGAAUCAGAUAUGGACUUGUAUAAUUAAAACCCAUCAGGAAAAGGCUUAAAACAAUCAGAUUUUGAAUGGGAAAAGGCCUCCUAGGUGCGGCAGGUAAGGGAUAAGGUGGAUAAGGCUUCUAGAAAAGCCUUGCAAGGCAAGGAAAAUCAGAUUUCUAGAAGGGAAUAGGUGCGGCACACUAAGGGAUAAGGCUGAUUGUGAAGGGAUAAGGUGUCCUAAAGUGUUUAGGACUCCUCUUUGGAACUGAAAUCUGUGUACAUUAGGAUUAGGAAAGUUUGUCUUUGUCAAUCAUUCAUCUUGGAUUCCUUUUCCCUCUUGGACUUGGAAAACUUCUUUGUUCUGAAACUUGAUGCCAUUUGGAUUUAACUUUCCUACUUCAAGUAGGAAACCUUGUUUGAGUAGGAAACUUCAUUCGUCUAGGAAUCCAUCUUCAAUUAGGAAUCCUUGAUUGAUUAGGACUCCUUCUUGGACUAGGAUUGCUUCUUCAAUUAGGUGCUUUCCUACUUCGACUAGGAAUCCUUGCUCAAGUAGGAAACAUCAUCUUCAAAUCUUCAAUUUCAUCCAAACCCUUGGCUCCAAAUAUGUGAAAUCCAUUCCAAGCUCCAUUUUUGCUCAAAAAGGCUCCAAAUUGCAUCUUUUUAUGUAAUAUGCCCUUAAAACCUGAAAACACAUGAAACUAGCUUAAAAUACCUCUUUAACUAAGAAAAUAUAACGAAAAUGCAUAAGAACUAGCUAACUAGGGCGCAUAAAUAUGCUCCUAUCAAAUUCCCCCACACUUAGCUUUUGCUAGUCCUCGAGCAAAACAAAAGAAAACAAAACGAAACAAAACAAACCUAAACCCUCCAACAUUUACCUCAGGGAUUUCCAAUGCACAUGACAUAUUAAAAAUCAUCAUUCCCACAGAUUUUAGUCAUCUUCACACUUAAGCACAUACUUAAUCAGAGUCACCACGUAUUAGUUCACAAAUAACCAAUUAAAACAUGAUUUUAAAUGUAGUAACAUGCCUUAGAGAAUUUGCUCAUUUCCUUACUAGAUAUGCACUCAAUUUUCACAUAGAUUUUCUGACUACACACCCUAUACUAGUUAUAUGUGAGAGGAUUGAUGUAAAUAUGAAUACGAAUGCUCACAUAUAUGUAUAACAAAGAAAGCAAUUUCCGGAGUUAAUAACAUGUAUAUAAGUAUGAUCUCAUGAAUGGAAUGCUACUACUUAGAUGCGAGAACCAGUGACACCAUAUGCUCAUACCAAUUCUAAACUCCACAAAUUGAAACACACAACACUCAAGAUUAAAGUCAAGGGUUGUAACGGGGCUUGGGGUAUUGGCUAACAAAGAAUGGAUAGGGAUAACAAAGGUUCUUUUAGCAAUAGCAAGCAAAGCAAUGAAAUUGAAACUUAGAAUUCACUUUUGCAUGCAAAAAUCAACUUUUAAACACCAGGGGAAGAUUCAUACAACAUUUAUAGGUCAAAUUCAACUUUUUUGGACCCUUUCUUCAACAAUCAACGCAUGUGAGUACAUUCUCACUUAUUUUCCAACUCUUUUUCAUUCUUUUCACACACUUUUCUUUUUCUUUUUCUUUUUUUCCACGAAUUUUUUUUUUUUUUUUUUUUUUCUUUACAUGCCUCAUUUAAGACUUGGCACACACAUACCCAAGAUCACUUCCCCCACACUUGUUUUCUGCAAUACAUUGAUCAAAAGGAAUUCAUUUUGAGUCAUGCUUUACUAUUCUUCAAGAACAAGGUUAGGGAUGGUCCUAAUCUAGGCUAGGUAAGGAUAAUGUGGGUUAACAAACAAUAUAGGCUAAACAAGGCUCAACGGGGUUAAACCUACAAAAACAAAUGCAUGGAAUGAAGGCUUUUUUGGCUAUGGUGGUAACUACUACUAACUUCAUCUUGAAUAUGUGUUAUGCAAAAUUCAAUAACAUGUUUUUUGAAUGAAAUUGGCAUGAGUUCUAGUGUUUGGAACUAAAUGAUGAAACGCCUUCUAAGUAGUAACCAAGCAAAGAAUAAUGAGAUCAUGCAACGACUUUAGAAAACAAGAAUGCACAGAUUUUAACUCUCCAAAUAAACAUUUAGGCUCAAGUCUCAUAAGGUUGUAGCGUUUGUUUGAGUUCCUUCCUUCAAGCAUGUUACAAAAACUGAUUUUCCUUUAUGAUUACAUGUGAAUUCAUAAGUUAUAACCACAACCAAGCAUAAACCAAAGAGUAAAUCAAACUUUCAUCCAUGUUUAUAACUCUCUUUAACAGUCAUGCAAUUACAAACCGAAUCCUCAUCAUUGUGUUGGAAGGUACUCUAAGACACAAACAAACACACAAAACAACUUUAAAAACGACUCUUUUGGUUUUUUUUUCAAAACAUUUUUUUUCAAAUUUUUAUGGGAUUUUCGAAUUUUUAUGUCAAAACGCACUAAAACACACCAAAACAGCCUAAAAACAGCAAGGAACAACAUUUGAAAUUAUGGGUGAUAAAACCCUACGAAUUGGUAUCAAAACACUUUGGUUACCCCCCCACACUUAAAUCAAACAUUGUCCUCAAUGUUUCAAGCAUAAAUUAACACAAAUAACCGACAAACAAAGAAAACAGCAACUAAACAAUCUAACAUGGCAGAAACGUAAUAACAACAAAGAGAAGGGUUUAGGAACGCAAAUCUGGAAUUGGAGUGCUCUCUAGGUCUUCCUUUGUCGAAUGCAUGGGUUGCCUCCCAAGUAGCGCUUUCUUUAACGUCUUGUAGCCGGACGAUGCUCCAUUGAAGGUUUAUGGAAUCCCACGGCAUGGAGGGGUUUUUCCACUACCUGUCCUACGAAAUACUUCAUUCUUUGGGUCCUUGAAUGGGAUGGGAUAAUGAUCCUUUCUUAUUGUCGUGUUUUGCUUAUCUAAAUCAACACGAACUCUCCCACCACGUUGUCUUCGAUUAGGUACCUGCAUCAUACAAGGUAGCAACCUAUUAGUUGAAAUGGGAAUCGAAAUUGGAAUAGGUGGCUUACCUUUGUACGGCAAAGAAGUGGUAGCACUAUGGACAGAUGCACAAGGGGUGCACGCGGCCAGAUUUGGUGAUUUCAAGGUUGGGGCCGUGCACUCUUUGUUGUUUACUCCAAUCCCUUCCUCGAUGGUGGGUUGUGGGACAUUCUUCUUGACUAGUGUUGAACAUUCCUGCCCUAUAUUUUCAAUUACAUUAAUAGCACAAUAAGAACGAACAUCAUUAGUAUUCUCAACCGAUUCAGAAAUCUUAAAGUUAAUCAUAUCACCACCAAAGGCCAUAGUUACUGCUCCCUUGGCCACGUCAAUCUUGGUUUGAGCUGUUUUCAUGAAUGGUCGUCCAAGUAAGAGUGGUGAUGGUGGAGAGUGGGUUGAGUCCUCCAUAUCAAGCACAUAGAAAUCUGCAGGAAAAAUCAAGUGGUCUACCUGCACCAAAACAUCUUCCAACACUCCUUUGGGAUAUGCAUUAGAUCGAUCGGCUAAUUGAAUAAUAACUCUAUCAUUUUAAGCUUUCCUAGAUUCAUAGAUGCAUAAACAGAAUAUGGCAUGACAUUUAUAGAUACACCUAAAUCUAACAUAGCAUGAUCAAACCUCGUAUUGCCAAUAACACAAGGGAUAGUGAAACUACCUGGAUCUUUGCAUUUAGGUGGUAACUUUCUUUGCAACAAUGCAGAUACAUUUUCACUUACGUGUACCACCUCUUUCUCCCGAAUUCGUUUCCUUGUUGUACAAAGCUUCUUCAAAAACUUGGCAUACUUCGGGAUUUGCUUUAUAGCAUCAAGGAGUGGGAUAUUGACAUGCACCUUCCUAAACUUCUCGAGAACAUCUUUCUCCUCUUCUUCGUUCUUGGCUUGCAAAAAUCUGCUAGGAAACGGUACAUUCGGAGGAAUGACAUUAGAAUUAACUUGAAUUGGACCUUCUUUACUUAUGGUAGCCGUAUUGGAAUGCUUGGGUGGUUGCGGCAAGGGUGUUUCUACCCUUGUCGUGGCCUUUGCUUGGUUCUCCUCCUCAAUUUGGAACUUCUCGUCCUCCUUGGGGGCAGAUCUCAAUGGUUGUGGCUCAGUUCCUACUUCUUUCCCGCUCCUUAGCGUGAUGGCCUUGGCAGUUUCGAAUCCUCCCCUCGGAUUGACAACGGUUGAACUUGGCAACUUGCCUUGCUCUCGAAAUUGGCCCAUAAACUCCGCAAUCUGCCCUACUUGCUUCUCCAACUCAUCCAUCCUUUUGUCUCUAUUUUGCAUACCCUGCGCCAUAGAAGUUAGUAAUUGAAAAAUCUGAUCAUUAUCAAUGGACGAACCUGAAUUGGUUUGGGUAGGUUGUGCUUGAGGUUGUAUGGGUGCAAACGGCUUUUGAUAGAAACCCGGGGGUUGUUGCCUAAAUGUGCUUUGUUGUUGGCCUUGCUGGGGUUCUCGCCAUUUGAAGUUUGGAUGAUCUCUCGAACCGGGAUUGUAGGUAUUAGAGAAGGGAUCACUUCUUUGUUGAUAUGGCUGCCCAAGACCCACAGCAUUGAGGGUCUCCCACCCUCCAUUCUUUAUCAAUUGUGGGCACUUGUCCGUAAUGUGUCCUUGCAUGGAGCACACGCCACAAGCACUUACAUUUUGAACUUUUGGUCCUUCCACAACCUGAGAAAGAAGAGUAGUAAGGUUAGCCAUUUGAUUUUGAAGUUCGGAGAUGGCACUUACCUCAUUCACUUGGUGUUGCUGUGGGUUUGUCCUUUGUCCAACACCUUCGUAUUGUUGAGCGUUCAACGCUCGAUUGGCAAUCAAAGUCUUUGCUGCCGUGGGGGUUUUGUCCACCAAGGCUCCUCCUGCUGAGGCGUCUAGCAUUUGACGUUCGAUUGGUAGAAGCCCCUCGUAGAAGUAUUGUAGAAAAAGCUCUUCCUUCAUUUGAUGCUGUGGACAAGAAGCAACAAGAGAUUUAAAACGUUCAUAAUAAGUAGGAAAAGAUUCACCUUCAUCUUGUUGAAUUCCACUUAUCCUUUUUCGUAGGAGGAUGACUCGAGAAGUUGGGAAGAACUUUUCCAAAAAGGCUCGCUUCAUGCUCUCCCAAGAUGUGACAGUUCCGGGAGCUAGUUCAUACAGCCAAUCUUUCGCCUUUUCUAAAAGAGAAAAGGGAAAGGCCUUCAUCUUCAAAAUACUUCCAUCAACAUUGAUGGGGGUCAUGCUUGAACACACCACUUCGAAUUCUUUCAAGUGCUUGUUAGGAUCCUCCAUGGACAACCCAUGGUACUUCGGAAUAUGGUGUAGCAAACUUGACUUCAACUCGAAUUCUUCAGUCUUUCCUUGGGCACCCGCGGGGUAUUGGAUGCAUAGGGGUGCGGCAUUGUCCAAUCCCGAAGCCGAAAGCUCCUUGAUUGUACGAUUGUCUUGUGCCAUGACUGCCUCUACUUCACCCACUCUUGCCGUGGGUUCCUCUUCUUCAAACUCAACUUCGGCUUCUGAAUUUGAACUUGAUUCACUAAGUUCGGGAUUCUUCCUCUUUCGUCUCAACUCUCGCUCAAAAUCGUCGUCAAAGUCCAAGAUGUGUCACGAACCGGAUGAGAACUCCGAGUCAUAAACUAGUACAUAAAACAAGAAAACAAAACAAACUCAGAAUCUGGAACGAAUUAAAACUGAAAUAAAACAAUCCAAGGGAUUAGCAAAGUUGCUAAUCCCCGGCAACGGCGCCAAAAAUUUGAUGCGAAAUAUAUAAGCACACAAAUUAAACCCUCUUUUUAUCAAUUGUAGCAAAGUAUGUAAGUAGGGAUCGUUCUAGACCGGGGAUUAGGAGGGAUUGCUAAAUCACUUGAAAACUGACUCAAAUACGUAAAAACAAGUUUAAAACACUAAACUAGACUCAAAGAAAGCAAAACUAAACUCUAAAACACUAAAACAAACCUAAAGACUCAAAACAGCCCAGAAACACUCAAAACUGCCUUAAAACCCACAAUCUGGGCAGUUUUGAACAAUAAACACAACUUGGACGAAAAUUGGUUUUAACUUGACUUAAGACACUUGAAAACACAAACUAAAGUGAUUUUCUAACUACUAUGACUCAACAAAAUAAAGGGGGAUUGGAUUUUGGACGAAUUUAAAACAAAACAAAACAUUGUAAACUAGAGUAGAUUUUAAAACGAAUUUGGUGAAAGAGAAUGGAUGGAAAGCUAGCUAAGGGGUUCUUCUCCACACAUGUCACACUUGCAUACAAAACGAUUUCCAAUUGCUUCUCAAUAAACCAUGAAUUCUCAACGCCCCAAGUUAAUUAGGUCCGCUUAAAUUAACCCUCAGAUUUUCCUUAAGUUAUUGAAUUGGAUGAAUUGCAUACGACAACCCAAAGCAUUCCCCACAAGUUCCCUACAUGAAAGCGCAUAAUAGAGAUUCAAGCAAGGAUCAUUAAGUUCUAUAAAAAUCAUAAGCAUUGACGAGGCACUCGUAACUAUGAAAGCGCAUGAAACUUAUGCCAAGAAUUCACUUAACGCAAUUGUGAUCAACAACUUUUACUACUUAUGAAUAUAAGUUCAUAACUAUUAGGUGAAACUCCCUUACAUUCUAGCAUCAAACUUAUGCAUGAAAAUUAAGCGUGCACUCUCAACCAACGUACACAAAUCAGUUUUAAUUCAUAUAGAUAAGUAAAUUGAAUCCACAACUUAUGAAACGCAAUUCGAAGUAAUCAAAUCAUAUAGCAAGCAUAAUCAUGGUUUCGAAUCCCCCCUAGCCAAGGGGGGUUUAGUUCCUCAUACUCGCAAAGCAAAGAUACAUAAAUUUAGACAUUAAAAACCAAGGAAAGAAAACACCUAGAUGAUCCAAUUUGGACAGCAGGUGCAUCCACAAGUCUCCCUUCCUCCUUGCUGUGGCACUUGGACUUUGGACAGGUUCUUUGGGGUUAUGGAUGGCGUAGAAUGGAUGGGGGAUGUGUGAUGGUGUUUAGGGUUGAUGGGUGGUGCGGCUAGGGAUGAUUUAGGGUAAAAAAUAUGGAAUAUAGUGGUGGAAGGGUGCGGCAGAGAGCAAGGAAUGAUUUCUGGCGUGAAUUGAUGUGUAUGAGAGGUGGUAUUUCAGCCAAAGGGUUAAUAUGAGUAUAUAUAGGCACUUCAAACCCUAGGGGAAUCAGAUAUGGACUUGUAUAAUUAAAACCCAUCAGGAAAAGGCUUAAAACAAUCAGAUUUUGAAUAGGAAAAGGCCUCCUAGGUGCGGCAGGUAAGGGAUAAGGUGGAUAAGGCUUCUAGAAAGCCUUGCAAGGCAAGGAAAUCAGAUUUCUAGAAGGGAAUAGGUGCGGCACUAAGGAAUAAGGCUGAUUGUGAAGGGAUACGGUGUCCUAA
rnacentral:lncRNA from 1 species